UACGUAGGGUGCGAGCGUUGUCCGGAAUUAUUGGGCGUAAAGAGCUCGUAGGUGGUUUGUCGCGUUGUUCGUGAAAACUCACAGCUCAACUGUGGGCGUGCGGGCGAUACGGGCAGACUUGAGUACUGCAGGGGAGACUGGAAUUCCUGGUGUAGCGGUGGAAUGCGCAGAUAUCAGGAGGAACACCGGUGGCGAAGGCGGCCUGCUGGGCAGUUACUGACACUGAUGCGCGACAGCGUGGGGAGCAAACAGG
rnacentral:rRNA from 1 species